UAGGGAAUCUUCGGCAAUGGGGGCAACCCUGACCGAGCAACGCCGCGUGAGUGAAGAAGGUUUUCGGAUCGUAAAGCUCUGUUGUAAGUCAAGAACGAGUGUGAGAGUGGAAAGUUCACACUGUGACGGUAGCUUACCAGAAAGGGACGGCUAACUACGUGCCAGCAGCCGCGGUAAUACGUAGGUCCCGAGCGUUGUCCGGAUUUAUUGGGCGUAAAGCGAGCGCAGGCGGUUUGAUAAGUCUGAAGUUAAAGGCUGUGGCUCAACCAUAGUUCGCUUUGGAAACUGUCAAACUUGAGUGCAGAAGGGGGGAGUGGAAUUCCAUGUGUAGCGGUGAAAUGCGUAGAUAUAUGGAGGAACACCGGUGGCGAAAGCGGCUCUCUGGUCUGUAACUGACGCUGAGGCUCGAAAGCGUGGGGAGCGAACAGGAUUAGAUACCCUGGUAGUCCACGCCGUAAACGAUGAGUGCUAGGUGUUGGAUCCUUUCCGGGAUUCAGUGCCGCAGCUAACGCAUUAAGCACUCCGCCUGGGGAGUACGACCGCAAGGUUG
rnacentral:rRNA from 1 species